rnacentral:rRNA from 1 species
UACGAAGGGGGCUAGCGUUGCUCGGAAUCACUGGGCGUAAAGCGCACGUAGGCGGCUUUCUAAGUCAGGGGUGAAAUCCUGGAGCUCAACUCCAGAACUGCCUUUGAUACUGGAGAGCUUGAGUCCGGGAGAGGUGAGUGGAACUCCGAGUGUAGAGGUGAAAUUCGUAGAUAUUCGGAAGAACACCAGUGGCGAAGGCGGCUCACUGGACUGGUAUUGACGCUGAGGCGCGAAAGCCAGGGGAGCAAACGGG